CAUCUAGGUUCUUACUGAAGACAUUUACUCUUAGCACUGUGAUGAAACCAUGUUUAUAUACAGCAACUGUCAUUCGAAUGGUAAUCUGCAAGAGAGGAAGGUCUUUUUACGCAGCCCCUUCACUUUUGUCGAUAUAUUGUUUGCACUUUCACUUUCCUAUAUCUUUGUAUGACUUGAUCCUACUUGCUGUGGACAGAUUUUCCUUUGCGGUUCUCUGUCGACUACCUUUUCUUUGUUGGCCUUGGCGUCCCGCCUAACCUUUUUGUUAGACCACCUCAACUUGUGAACAAAUGGCCAAACCAAUUAUUUUAAUGAUUGAAAUGUGAAUGGGAAAACCUUUUAGAAGAAGAGAUCCAAUGUGUUUGUUUUCAUGAAAGCAGGUCUUUCAUGAGACCCGACUUCAGUCUACGGUGGCCCUGAAGUUCAAAACACAACGGAAAAUAGGAACGCACAACAGCCAAUAGGAAAACACAACGACAAAUGGGAAACCACAACGAAAUGAACUCCUUACGGAAAGGGUAGGACCUUAUAGCAGAGGAUGGACCCUUCUGAUUGGACAACAGGAAAUGAGGACUCGCUCGCUCGCUACACCUUCAUUUGGCGCGAAAAUACGUCGAAAAAAAACAAUGUUUUGCCAUAAUUGUGGUCAAAAGUUGUGGACAGAUACUUGGAAAAAGUCUGGAGUCUUUGGCUCAACCCACCGAUGGACCAACUUCAGAAUGCUCCAUUCAACUCAAACCCAAGAUUCAAAACCUUUCUGGAAUACCGGAAGAAAAAAGGAGAGGAAAGGCAACUUUUUCCUUUGGCAAAAUGCGGGAUAAGAAAAAGGAAAAAAGGAAAGUGCAGAACCGGGCAGCAGUCCUGUGUCUUCACAGACAGUCGUACAUGUGAAGUGUGCGCUCCAGCUGCUGGACGACGCGCUGGUAGAAGGCAAUCUGCUCCGUGAGGUCGUGACCCAGAAGUCGAAAGAGACUGCUGGGAGCCUGGCUGGCAGAAAACAAACAAACAACGCUAUGGACAACACAAGAGUCCCUAGUAGAGCACAAGGGAGUAGAUUUGGGUGUUCGGUUGCCAACUACCAUGGAUACUACAAUGGACCCGGAAGAGACGCUGCUCGGAGGCUCAUCUGGAACCUCCUUACCUAGGUCAAUUCCACCACCUUCUACUCCACUGUAUGCUACCUCCUCAGUUAGGUCGACUCUAGCUUGCACUCCACCACCUUCAACUACUCCACUGCGUGCUACAAUUACCGAUGAUCUACCUGUUAAUUUCUGCAAUAUUAUAACUGCAUCAACAUAUGGGCAUCACAAAGAAUCUUCAUGCCAUGCUUUCACUCAUCCUGUGUAGUCUAACAAACAGCUGAUGUCAAGAUGGUUACUACCACAUGCCUAAUCGGUAGGAAUACAACUGACUUUAUACCUCCAUUUCUUAAAGGAACGAGGACCCAGCAAACAAGGCAAAUGAGAGACGUCGAUGUGCUGGUAAACCAGAUGCAAGUCAUGACUCAACAAUGGAAGGAGGACAUGGCAAGAAGUGAGGCCCGGGAGGAACGGUUGAUCGCCAGCAUCCUCCGCACUGACAGUAUGGUUGAGAAGCUGAUGCAGAGAAUGGAUAACAUUCAACCUCAACCAAACACAUUGUCACCACCACCACAACAUCAACCACCGCAAGAUGCGUAUUAUGGUUAUGGAUGCCUUACUUAUUUGCACUACCGCCUGAAAAGCACCUUACCGUUCAUACAGCACAAUUUCUACACUCUACCUCAGUGUGUGUAUAUAUAUAUAUAUAUAUACACAUACACAAUCAUAAUUUAUAUAUAUAAAUAUUAGUUUUUUGUGACAU